rnacentral:miRNA from 1 species
GGACCUCAUUAUUUCUUGCCUGAACUAUUUCAGUAAACUCCU